CCCCUUAGAGUUUGAUCCUGGCUCAGGAUGAACGCUAGCGGCAGGCCUAAUACAUGCAAGUCGGGGGGAUAGCAAUAUCACCGGCGGACGGGUGCGUAACGCGUACACAACGUGCCCAAGGGCGGAGGAAAGCGGCGGGAAACUGCCGGUAAUACUCCGUGGUGUUGUUGAGUGGCAUCACUUAACAACUAAAGUACAAGCGCCCUUGGAUCGGUGUGCGUUCGAUUAGCUAGUUGGCGGGGUAAUGGCCUACCAAGGCUACGAUCGAUAGGGGGUGUGAGAGCAUGACCCCCCACACGGGUACUGAGACACGGACCCGACUCCUACGGGAGGCAGCAGUAAGGAAUAUUGGACAAUGGGCGGAAGCCUGAUCCAGCCAUGCCGCGUGAAGGAUGAAGGCGCUCAGCGUUGUAAACUUCUUUUGGAUGGGAACAAUAACCAAGACUUGUCUUGGCUUGAGGGUACCAUCAGAAUAAGCACCGGCUAACUCCGUGCCAGCAGCCGCGGUAAUACGGAGGGUGCAAGCGUUAUCCGGAAUCACUGGGUUUAAAGGGUGCGUAGGCGGUCUAAUAAGUCAGUCGUGAAAUCGCUGGGCUCAACCCAUGCAAUUGCGAUUGAUACUGUUAGACUUGAAUGGGGUUGAGGCUAGCGGAAUGCGGCAUGUAGCGGUGAAAUGCUUAGAUAUGCCACAGACACCGAUUGCGAAGGCAGCUAGCUGGGUCUUUAUUGACGCUGAGCACGAAAGCGUGGGGAGCAAACAGGAUUAGAUACCCUGGUAGUCCACGCCCUAACGAUGCUCACUGCUGUCUCUUUCAGGAGAGAGAGGGGCUUAAGAAAAACCGGUAGUGACCUCCUUGAAGUAGUACGCCGCAAGAUGAACUCAAGUAAUUGACGGGGUCCGCACAGGAGAGCACUGUGUCAUUCGAGCUUAUGCGCGAGAUCCUUAGCCUGGACUAGAAACGCU
rnacentral:rRNA from 1 species